CCUACGGGAGGCAGCAGUAAGGAAUAUUGGGCAAUGGAGGCAACUCUGACCCAGCCAUGCCGCGUGAAGGAUGAAGGCCCUAUGGGUUGUAAACUUCUUUUGUACGGGAAUAAACCUGGUUACGUGUAACCAGUUGAAUGUACCGUAAGAAUAAACACCGGCUAACUCCGUGCCAGCAGCCGCGGUAAUACGGAGGGUGCAAGCGUUAUCCGGAUUUAUUGGGUUUAAAGGGAGCGUAGGCGGGAUUGUAAGUCAGUGGUGAAAGCCCGUAGCUCAACUACGGAACUGCCAUUGAUACUGCAGACCUAGAGUACACUUGAAGUGGGCGGAAUGUGUCAUGUAGCGGUGAAAUGCUUAGAUAUGACACAGAACACCAAUUGCGAAGGCAGCUCACUAAAUUGUAACUGACGCUGAGGCUCGAUAGCGUGGGGAUCAAACAGGAUUAGAUACCCUGGUAGUCCACGCCGUAAACGAUGAUUACUCGAUGUUGGCGAUACACUGUCAGCGUCUGAGCGAAGACAUUAAGUUAAUACCACCGUACGGGAGGUACGGUCGGCGAGGACGUAGAAACGUACGAAAGAAGUUAGUACGGCGUGAGACGUAGACCGACGGACGACGACGAGGGAGGAGG
rnacentral:rRNA from 1 species